rnacentral:snRNA from 1 species
UGAAUUACCUGGCGGGGGAGACACCGCGAUCCUGCAGGUGGUUCUCCUGGGGCGAGGCUCGGCCAUUGCACGCGGGCCGUGCUGACCCCCGCGAUUUCCCCGGACGCGGGAAACUCGACCGCACAAUUUGUGGUAGUGGGGCCUGCACUCUCGCUCGCAGCUUUU